GAACGCAGCGAAAUGCGAUAAGUAAUGUGAAUUGCAGAAUUCAGUGAAUCAUCGAAUCUUUGAACGCACAUUGCGCCCCUUGGUAUUCCGGGGGGCAUGCCUGUUCGAGCGUCAUUACAACCCUCAAGCUCUGCUUGGAAUUGGGCACCGUCCUCACUGCGGACGCGCCUCAAAGACCUCGGCGGUGGCUGUUCAGCCCUCAAGCGUAGUAGAAUACACCUCGCUUUGGAGUGGUUGGCGUCGCCCGCCGGACGAACCUUCUGAACUUUUCUCAAGGUUGACCUCGGAUCAGGUAGGGAUACCCGCUGAACUUAAGCAUAUCAAUAAGCGGAGGAAAAGAAACCAACAGGGAUUGCCUUAGUAACGGCGAGUGAAGCGGCAACAGCUCAAAUUUGAAAGCUGGCCCUUUUAGGGUCCGCGUUGUAAUUUGUAGAGGAUGAUUCGGCGAGGGCUCCUGCCUAAGUCCCCUGGAACGGGGCGUCAUAGAGGGUGAGAAUCCCGUAUGCGGUAGGUUGCCUUAGCCAUGUGAAUCUCCUUC
rnacentral:rRNA from 1 species